CAGCAAAUUCAGUGUCUGGUGAGGUCAUGCUUCCUGGUUCACAGAUGGCUUUCUCACCGUGUCCUCACAUGGCCCAAGAGACAAAGGAACUCUCCUCCCCAUUGUCUCUCUCUGGUCUUUAUUAUGAGGUCACUAAUUCCAUCCAUGAGGGCAGUCACUCUCAAAAGGCCUCACCUCCCAAAGGCGCCACCUCCUAAUACAAUCAUCAUGGAUGCCAGGAUUUUAAUAUAUGAAUUUUUAGGAGGAACACAAAAUUCAGUGUAUUGCAACUAAUUUUGCAAAUAUUGGCUGAUUGGCAGUUUCUCCACUUUUAAUGCCAUUCAUUGGCUCAUGCUGCCUAAGGAGUCUUGUGGCUUUUGCUCUUUUUUGCUUUAUCUGCCCAUUUGUCAAUUUUCUGCAAGCCUGGUGGAGACCAAGCAACUCAAUCAGCUCUUCCUCUUCCUAUUGCCCUCAGAGCACCUCCUAGUGGCAAAAAGCAGGCAUUGUAAUCCCAGCAAGGCUUUUGAAAUUUGCUUCUUUCAUCCAUUUAUUUAGUUAUUGCCUGCAAAUGUUUCAACGAUAAUGUAAUGAUCCCUCUGCUGUCCAAAGACCAUGGUUGACCACAGGUAAUUGAAACCCUGGAAGGUGAAACUGCAGAUAAGGAGGACUACAGUGUUCAACUAUUUACAAAUAAUGACAGUGGCCACAAAGAUUACCUUGAAAAGAGACCGUGAGACAGUUUCACACAGACUGUGCCUGGAUUUCCAUGAGUCUCUGCCAACUGCUUUUUAAGAGGUUUGUUGGCAGGAAGUGUCUUGGUUUUCUUGAUGGCAGAGAUAAAGAAAAAAAGAAAAAAAACAAACGUGAAAAAUUCCAAGGAUCAAUUUGCUAUUCAGUUUGGAAAAUAGUUAUUUACAAGAAGCACUGUGGCAUCUACAAGAUCUUGCUACCUCACCCAACUACUCCCUCCCUAAUCCAAAAAAAUGAGAGAAACCCAUUGCAGUCUGUGGUUGGGGUUGAUUAAACAUCCCUUGGGGCCCUAAUGCCCUCGAAAUGAUGUGAAAUCACUGGGUUGUGUAUCAAAAGGGCAGGGUGAGCUCCUGGCUCAUCUGACUUUAAUCUCAAAUGGCUCCACACUGGUAGUUGAGAACAGACAAUUACUUCAUUAACUUUUGGAAAGUCUGAGGCAUUUGUGUUGCUUUCUGGACUGUGCUCUGCUACAGGGAGAGAAAAGACGAGGUCCAAC
rnacentral:lncRNA from 10 species